rnacentral:misc_RNA from 1 species
AUUAGAGGAAGUAAAAGUCGUAACAAGGUUUCCGUAGGUGAACCUGCGGAAGGAUCAUUAACGAAUUUGAUAUUACAUCUUUUUCUGUGAAUUUUGAGUCAUUCAUUUGACUAAAUUGCUUCGGGGACUUUCGAGUUCCCGCUGGAAAACAUUUUAAACCUUUGUCUAAACAACUUUAAUAAUAUAUUAAAACUUUCAACAACGGAUCUCUAGGUUCUCGCAUCGAUGAAGAACGCAGCGAAAUGCGAUACGUAUUGUGAAUUGCAGAUUUUUGUGAAUCAUCGAAUCUUUGAACGCACAUUGCGCCUGGUGGUUAUUCCACCAGGCAUGCCUGUUUGAGCGUCAUUUCUCUCUCACUCCGGUGGUUUUGCUGUAUCUCUCUUUACGGAAAGUGCAGUGAAAGGAAAUGGCAAAGCUCUUAUUUUGUAAACGUGUUUUAGGUUUUUCCAACUACACCAGUAACAAAGUUUGAAGUUGGCUUGAUAACUCUUUCAACGUUGACCUCAAAUCAGGUAAGA